AGACUGAUAUAAAUAAAUACGUUGAAAGUUUGAGGAACAACAGGUAUUUAAGUAGUUUUCAAUACAUUCCCCAUAAAAUACUUAAUAAUUACAAAGAAGGAAGAAGAAACUACAUGGAGAAGCCUGUUGGACACCACCCUAAUCAAGUGAUCAGAGUGAUCCUCAUCAAUAGUGGGACGAAUGGAAAUCUUGAGCCACCUAAUGGGAUGCAAUGAGAAGAGCCCAGCAUCACUUCCGUGAUAUUCCUAUCAAAGAUGUAUAACCUGAAUUUUGACUUUUUUUGUGUGUGUGUGUGGUGAGGAAGAUUGGCCCUGGGCUAACAUCUGUUGCCCAUCCUCCCCUUUUUGCUUGUGGAAGAUUGUCCUUGAGCUAACAUCUGUGCCAAUCUUCCUCUAUUUUUGUAUGUGGGAUGCUGCCACAGCAUGGCAUGAGGAACAGUGCCUAGGUCCGUGCCCAGGGUCCAAACACACAAACCCUGGGCCACCGAAGCAGAGCAUGUGAACGUAACCACUACGCCACCACACCGGCCCCUGAAUUUUGACCUAAAAAAAUAUUUAUUUUUUAGGUGAUCCCACAAGGAGGAAACAAUCAGACAAAUCCAGGCUAUGAGACAUUCUAUAAGACAAGCAGAUGGGACAGCUGGGGAGAGGCGGGGAGAGGAUGUCAUCAGGCACCUGGGAGGGAGUGGGCAGUCCCGUUACAUACACACUGCACCCUAUUACAGCCCUGCAGACUUUUUGUAGCUGAGGAAACUGAGGCACAGGGAGGUGAAGUCAAUUCUUCAAGGACCCAGCCGCAGACCCUGGAUUGGGCUUGUCUUCAAAGCCCUCACUCCCAUCUGCAGGCCGAUUCUGGAAUUGAUGGUUGGAGCAAUUUUGGGUGGCGGAUGGGGCACAGGCAAGACAUGACUGAACUUUUUGGCUGGGACUGGCACAGGGCAGGCAUUUACUCGACAUUUGUUGGUGGAUACAGGGCUCUGUGCUCCCGGGCCAGAGGCCGGCUUACACAGGUAGAACAUGCACAAAGAGGAUUCUAGACGCAUCCCUGCUGGGGGGCAGCCAGGGCUGAGAGCCCGGGCUGUGGGCCCAAGGGCCUGGAGGAACAGGGUGCCUUCUGUUUGACCUCAAGGAGCAGCUGCCACCUUCUCCCUCCCACUUCUCUAUCAAGGCCUGUAGCAGCAAGAAAAUUGUAGUCUCAUUACCCAGUGACCCGAGAAGCACAAUUAAGCUGAAAAUUAGUUGGCAUAAUUAAUUAGAUGGGUAAAUAGCUCCCUGUCAACACCAAUCAAUCCAUUCUGCAUAUAAUCAGCUCGGCACCGGCAGGAAGGAGCUCCUGCAGCUGCUGCUUCUGCUGGUGGGCCAGGGCCUGGGGGGAGCGGAAAUGGGCACCAGGGGACAGGAUGUGCAGCCAGCACAGCCCCUGGCCCAGGCCAGGACCGCCAUGGGAACUCACGAAGUUCUGGCUCGUUUUCAGGGAAGUCCACUGCACUGGAAUAAGCUGCCUGUGCCAGCCCAGCUUUGUGUGGGAGCAGGAGUGGGAGCAAGAGGACUGGGGUUCCCCCAUUUCUACCACCUCCCCCGCCCCUCCCCUACAUAGCUGAGAAGAAAAGCAAUGUUCUAGAAGAUUCCCACCUGCACCCCUCUUUGGCUCUGGUGACUUAAAGAUUGUAAGGCUGAAUCAGCUCACUGGGGCCAACGCCCUGCUUCCCUUCAGUGAGCAAAGACCUGCUCUGUGGGUAGGAGACCUUGCUGUGCUCCCCACACCGCAUGUGGAGCGUGGGCGAUGGACCUUGGAGCCCGUUCCCGGCCAGGUCACGGAAAGGCCUACCUGGUCACUGAAAUCAGAGCCCACACACCUUUGGAAUGUGGAGCCAGGUCUUUGAUCAGAGUAAAAGCUGAGGAUAUAGAAAUGAACCAACUGCAGGUCUGCCCUCAAAGAAAGACGUGCAGUUACAGUGGAAUGUGAGGAGCGCUUCCUGUCAUCAUCAAAUGCCGGUGGGCCCGCCGUGGGCUCUGCACAGCCUACAGCUUGGCCCCCGCUGUGGAGGGGCCUACACUCCACUGGGAAAGACAGCAAAGGAGGAGUCACGACCUCCAACCUCCAGCUGGGAUGAGUGUUAAGGUCAGGGGAGCAAGAGCUGUGAGAAUACAGAGCCGGGUGUCCUGGCCCAGCCCAGGGCUGGAGGCGUGGUGAGGACCUCAAAGAGACAAGUUCCAGAGGGCAGGCCUCGGCGCUGGGGCACAGGGUGACUUCCUCCUGAAGCUGUUAGGCAGGACACAGACAAGCCCAGAUUAAUGCCUGUGACAGAGGCCUCUGGCCACAGUGUGGAGAAGAGCAAGAGGCCCUCAGGGAACAUCCGGGCUGGCAGGGGUCAGGCCUUCCUUCUUCUCUGUGCUUCGUCAGCACAGUCAGAGCAAUGACUCUCAGACGCUUCCACAACAGGCUGACUCACACGGUGCGGUCCGCUCGUCCAGUCACAAAUGGAGCUGGGAGGACGUGGCCUUUCGCUGCCCUGGAUAGAUGACAAAAGAACUGUUGGCUGUUCCUCCCGCCCUGCACUCGGCCUCCCUGAACUUGCCCAGCUGGCUGCACCCUCGCUUCUGGCUUGUCACAGCCAGAAUACUGAGAGGAGACACGUGGGCCACAGCGGGGUCCUACACCACCCCCAGUCCUGGUUGGGAAGGGGCCAGGCCUGGGAACCCUUUGCUGCCUCUCAAAGUACCACAGGAGAACUUUCUCCUGAAAUGGGGCCUUUCUGCCCAGCCUCCUUCUUUCCCCAAUAACCUCUCCCCUCACCUGCCCUCUGGACUCCCUCUAGAGUUUUAUUUUUUUUUAAGCAGAGAGGACUGGAAAGCUGAUGAGAGUCACAGUGAGCAUGGAUUCUGGAAGCCACUCACCCUGACUUCCCUCCCACUGGAGCAGCGACCGCAGAGGACCGUGAGAGGAAAGACAGGCUGUGGGCCGCGGCCAGCUCAGAUGCAGCCCACUAUCGGGUUGUGACCCCCGCCGAGCCGAUGGAGACAGUGACCCGUGGGUGGGAGGGAAGCUCAGGGAGAGGUCAGGGGUGAAAACAAAAGUCCCAGCUCUUAACACCCGUGAACACCCCCAACACAGACAAAUCUUGGAGCUUCUGGGGGUGAAACAGAAAACCUGCCCAAAUUCAGGACAGAACAUAGUUUCAGGCUGUCCACAAGCUCCUUAGACUUCCACUGUCAACAUGCACAGGAAUGUUUGCUACUGUAUUUGUUCCUAACUGGGAAGAAUUCGAUGUUCUAGAAUUAGAAGGCCUAGAGCAGCUCGGGCUCCAUCACUAAGGACCACAGACUGUGGGGCUUAAACAAGAGAAAUUUGUUCUCUCACAGUUCUGGGCACUGGGAGGCCCAGAUCAGGGUGUUAAAAGGGUUGGUUUCUUCUGAGUCCUCUCUCGCGGCUUGCAGGUGGCCGUCUUCCUCCCGCGUCUUCACAUGGUCUUUUUUGUUGGCGUCUGUGUCCUGAUCUCGUCUUCUCAGAGACAGUCUGUUGUGGUUAGAAAGAACAGGAAGAUCUACGUGUAUUGGCAGGGAAAGAGUUUCCAGCUAUUGUUGAGUGGGGAAAGUCAGUCACAGGACAAUAUGUUGAGGGGCGAGGGUGGGAAGAGUGCUCAGUUCUUCACUCUCUCCCUCGCCCUGGCUUUACAGCCUCUCCCACCGUGGGCCGAGUACAUUUCCCAGCCCCAGGGAUGUUGAACUUGGCCAGGUGACUUGGUUUGGCCAAUGGAACUCAACGGAGGCACCCAGAGCAGACACCUUCAAUGUGCUUACUUGGCAGAGCUUGGUCUCUUGGGAUGCUGUGACCCCCAGUGAGAAGAAUACAUCCCAGGGAAAGGCUGGUCCAAGGAGAACGUGGAGAUGUGACAAGCAGAACUGAGCCCAACCUCAGCCUGGAGCUAGCCCAGUAACUCACAUACCCAGGAGCAAGAAAAAUACACACUUACCUGGAAAGCAUUAUGCUGAGUGAAGUCAGCCAGACACAAAGGACCAAUAUUGUCUGAUUCCAUUUGUGUGAAAUAUUUAGAAUAGGCAAAUCCAUAGAAAGUAGACCAGAGGCUACCAGGGGCUGGAGGGAGAGGCGAAUGGGGAGUUAAUUACUUAAUGGGUACAGAGUUUCGGCUUCGGGGGAUGAAAAGGUUUUCGAAAUAGUUGAGACUUGCACAACAUUGAGAAUGUACUUAAUGCCACUGAACUGGGCACCUAAAAAUGGUUAAAAUGGUAGAUUUCGUGUUAUAUAUAUUUUACCACAAUUUCAAAAAACGAUGUAAUACAUACAGUCAUGAACCACAACGAUGGACCAAAUAUACGACAGUGGUCCCGUAAGAUUAGUACCAUGUAGCCUAGGUGUGUAGGAGGCUCUGCCUUCUAGGUGUGUGUACGUAUACUCUCUGAUGUUCACACGACGACGAAAUUGCCUAAUGACGACGCAUUUCUCAGAACGCAUCCCUGUUGUUAAAUGGCUGUACACAGAAGCCAUUGAAUUGUACGCUUUAAAUGGGUGAAUUGUAUAGGAUGUGAAUCAUAUUUCAAUAAAGCUAUUUUUUAAAAGCA
ensembl:lncRNA